CGCUUAUUGCGGAAUCCGGACGGAAGCUGACCAAACCUACCAUCAGAGCCCGGCUGGUCCAGGGGAACCUCCUUCUUGGCAACAAUGUUGACCGCUAAGGUAGUCUAGGCUGAGACAAUUGUGACUUGCCCAAGGCCACCCAACAAGCUUCUCGGCUCAACAGGAAUUUGAACCCAGGUCUUGCGCACCCAGAGCCAGCACUCCCCCAAACUGGCCUAUUUGCCAUCUGCUGAAGAGAGAACCAAGACUCGUACCUCUUCGAAGCGCCCUCUGGACUCUUCAGCACCAGGAAAGCCCCCUCCAAUGUCCAGGAGGUGCAUCUUGUAGCCUAGUUCUGCACCCAUUUCAAAGACCAGGCGAGCGUCUGCUAUGGACUGAGUGAAGAGCUGGGGGUCGGCACAGCUGCUUCCAAUGUGGAAGCUGGAAAGGAAGGCAAGUGGGCUGUGAGCACAAGGAAACCCGCAGCCUACCUGAUGCCAACCACCUCGACAUUCAUCUCCUUUGCAGUCUCAAGCAGGUGACGGCAGACUUUAAGUGUGGCGCCGUAUUUCAUGCUCAUGCAGGUGGAGGACCUGGAGUCGUCGGUAGCCAAGCACAGAAUCAUUCUGUGGAACAAGGUGGGUGGGUGGGGAGAGCAAACUCAAUGACUGUGACAAUUGUGGUAUAUUGCUUAUUCUGAGCCAACACCAUGCCAGACACAGUACAGACUCAUCUUUUGCAUCUCUUGCAAAGUCGCUUUCCAGGAGAUGCUUGUGAUAACCCAGCACCUGCCUCCCCUCCAAUUCUGCACCAAGGGCAAAUUAUUUUUAAAAUAUCCCAUUUUUUAUA